AUGGGUCAAGCUGACAGCAGUCAAGCUAUCGGGUUUAAAUUCGUACGUGCCGGGAUGAAACUCCCUCCCCCAGCUGGCCUACAUCCAUCCGCUGAUCCAGCGGGAACCAAAUACACCUUACUGCAGAGAAAUUGGGCAUAUUUGGGUCAGUUUACUAAUCAAAGGUUCGCGAGGCACACACGGAGAUCGGGUCACUAUUAUGCAGGCCAGGUUUCCACCUGUAAGCAUGCAUUUCGUAACUAAGGUCAGACAUAACAAAGACAUGCAUACUGUUGCUGUUGGCAGGAUGAUUUAUUGUCGUCAUUAUAAGAGCUGAAGUAUUUGAGCAUUUGACCUCACGUGCACCAAGAAGGUGUUAAUCACACCACAGCGCCAGGAGACCAUAAAGAACAUCAUGUUCAGAUACUGAAAACAAACUUUUGAACAGGGAGCUUUACUUUGGCUGUUUGUGCUGAUUAUUGCUGUUUGCCAAAGCUGUGAUCAAAACCCAUAACACUAAUGAUUAAACCUACUCAUCCUGCAGCAUUUGAGCUCCAGACAUAAAUGAUGUCACCUCAAGAUUUAAGAGGUUUGGUGUCACUUUAAGUAAUUAGACUCGAGAGCACCAAGCAGCCACUCAGAACACCUUAGAAACCACCUAGUAACAACAUGACAAUGCGUUUUACCCUGAAGACCUUAGCAACCUCCUAUCAACGCCAUAGACACUAUAUCUGACUGUAAAUAAAGUGCAUAUCUGAUUGUAAUUUGAUUUAAAUGAUUGACUGUCCACACGGUGUAUAGCAACUGUUCAGAUCCUAUAUGUAUGUCUGUGGCGCGUGAAUACUGAAUAUUUGCAUUGGUUUCUAUGGCAAUGAUAUUGCAUUGGUAUGACUAUGCUAAAAAUAACAGCAAUACAGUUUACAAAACAGAUGUUGUCUUACAACAUGACAGCAUGUUGCCGUCGUGCUGGAUUAUAUUAUGCCUUAUGAGGCAGCGGCAGAAACGUAGGAAGCUGGAAUGCAUAGCUUUUUUUCGUGCUGCCAACUCGGCUGGUGUCAAAACCAGCUCUUUACACAUCUGACGUCUUUACUUUUUACAUGGCAUAAGAAAGUGACAUGGGCAAAAAAGCUACACAAAAUCUGAUCUGACCGGCCAGACUGAAACAGAUUUCCAAAAAAUGCGAUUUAAAAAGGAUUUCAAACCACAUAAGAAUGUAGCUUUAAAUGCAUUUGUAAAAAUUGGAUUUCAUGUGAUUUUUUGCUGUUCACACUUGCUAAAUAUAAUCGGAUUUGGACUGACAGUCUGAACAAGGCAUUUGCCUCCAUGACUAUACUACGGCUAUAUUCACACUGCAGGAAAAUGUGGCCCAAAUCCGAUUUGUUUGUUUCGCUCGUACAGUAUGUGACUCAGAUAGUUAUUCAUGACAGUGUGGACCGGACAAACCACAUGGAAUCUUAUCUUUUUGUUUCUGAUUUGUGCUACUUCCAUACGCGGAUCUAAAUUUGAUUCAGGUCAGAUGUUUUGCAAUGCGACCUAAGUCUGAACGGUCAUAUCGGAAUUAAUUUCAUCAUCAACUUUUACAUCACUCUAGAUCAACAUUUGUCAUUAUUUUUACGCCCCUUAUAGGAGUCACUCAAGAUUAGCCUAAAAGUGAAAACCAAUUGAUUUCUAUGACCCUAGACAGCAUUCAUAAAAAAACCCCUUCAUUUUCAUUUUCCAUGCAGAAGUCUCUAAAAAUAAAGGUCCACUGAAGAGUCCACUGAAACAGGAAGACAGGGCGGGACAUAUCGUGCAGCUCCAUCCCUUUUUUUAAAUAGCCAAUAGCAUUUAGUUUAUAUCACGGCUUGGGUCAAAGCCAUUGAGCUCGGUAAAGCUGACAGUCUAAAAGAUAACCCCUUUAAAUUAAAUAUGAAACUGUUACUAAAGCAAAACAGUUAUUAUAAAAGUGUGCAAUAUAUCUGGCAUCGGUGUCAUCUCUUCUACUCAUCAGUACUGUUUCUAAUACAGAGUCUGUCUAACAAUUUCUACUCCUAAUUAACACUGUCUGAAUCGUAUCCCCUAUAUAGUGCACUACAUUCAUUCACCAUACAGAAAAUACUAAUUCUGUGAACAAGUGACCGAUUUCAGCCACAGCUUCAACGUCUAUUUAUAGUGUAGGGGGCGGGACGUUUCAGAUUCUAGAGAGCAUUUGAUUGGACAGAAAGUUUGAUGAGAAGCUGAAGUGCAGGGUGGUGUCAUCAAAAACACUGAUCCAUAUUGGCGGAAGUGAGAGACUGUAAGUUUUGAAUGCUUAAAUCUUCUAAAUGUGAUUUUUGUCAUUGUUUUUGGAGCUCUCUUGUUUAUAGAUAACCACAAGGUUAACAUAUUCAUACUUAAAAGCCAAAAAAACUUCAAUUUUAAAAUGAGAUAAAUUAACUAGUGCAAAAUCAUGUAAGAUAACAAGACUUGUAUCUUGAACUAAAUGCAAGCCUAAACCUCACUCAUGUUGUUCUGCUUAAUUCAUGAGACUGAAGUGCUGCAGUAGGAAUGUAAACAGAGUCUGCUGGUGUGUGCGUGAGUGACUGCAGUGCUGCAGCGCAGGAGGAGGAGCCACGUGUGUGACCGUGUGAAGUCGGAGUGUGACAGAUCUCCUGCACUAACACCGGCAGCACACACGCUCUUAUCCUGCUGCCAGUUCAGCUCCUGUAACUCAUCUUGUAGCUCAUCUCACAUACGCACACAGACACACAGAAAGUAUUUAAAGGGCCGGUGAAGCGCUGCAUUAGUGUGUUCCUGCAUGUGCGGUAAACAUCCUGGGUCAAACCUAAAGCAAACCUAAAUGCAAAUUCUAAUCUAAAAACAAACAACUAACAACGACUCUGUGAUGAUUAGUAGGGAUGAUGAUGUUGGUAACCCUGCACUUUAAUGAACUGGAAACGUAUAAUAUCUGUUUGAUAGGCAAAUAAAAACAACAACAGCAGCAGCAACACCAUUUUCCACUAUUUUUUAAAUAAAAAAAAAUGACUUGAUCGCACUUUAGUAACUACGACUUCUGCCCCAAACUCAUAAUUGGCUGCUUAUUAAAGGGAUAGUUCAACCCAAAAAUGUAAAUUGUGUCAUCAUUCACUCACCCUUAUGUUGUUCCAAAACAUGUAUGAGUUUCUUUCUUCUGGUUAACACAAAAUAAGAUAUUUUGAAGAAUGUUGGUAACUAAACAGUGUCUGGUUCCCAUUAACAUAUCAUUCUAUUUUAUCCAUGCUAUGGAAGUCAAUGGCUACCGUCAAUAGUUUGGUUAAACACUUUCUUCAAAAUAUCUUCUGUGUUAAAAAGAAAAAAGAAACUCAUACAAGUUUGGAACAACAUGAGGGUGAGUAAAUGAUGACACGAUUUUUAUUUUUGGGUGAACUAUCCCUAGUUAAUAAGGUGGUUGGUAAGUUUAGGUAUGGGGUUAGAUUAAGGGAUCUAAAAUAUGGUCAUGCUGAAUAAGACAUUAAUAUGUGCUUUAAAAGGUACUAAUAAACAGCCAACAUGCUAGUUAUAUGCAUGUUAAUAAGCAACUGGUUAAUUGUGAGAAUUGGUCCCUAAACUGAAGGGUUGCCAAUGAUUUUUCAAAGAUGGAAAUAAAAAAAAAUUCAGUUUUCCUACUUCAAAAUGUCAUGUUUAAUUGGUAUGUUGCUUGAUUUUUCUAUGGAAUUGUGAAAAUUAUUAGAAAUUGAGUGAAAAUGUAACACUUACACAUUAUUUUUUCAGUGUAAUGCUAAAUUAAAGCAUCUGUUUGGAUUUUAAGCAUCUCAGGAGAAUCACAAUCCCAACUAUCAGCAAACAAGCUCAUAAACACUUCAAUUUUCAAUUAAAACAACAACAACAACACAAACGCAAACACAAACUGAGGCACUUACAAUUGAAGUAAACAGAAACAAUGCACCAGAAAUACAAAACACAAUGGGCCUACUUCAUUAAAACAGUGUAAAUAAAUUCAGGAGUAAUCUGUGCAUAUAAAUGGACCUUCCUGAAAACACUCCAGCAGCUUCACAAACACUCCAUAACCCACAAAUCUGAAUUCCAGUCAUUCACAAACAAGGCUCUCUCAUUCACAAUUAGUAUAAUCUCCACCCAUUAAUUACCACUGUGAAUAACAUGUACAGGAAUGCUGUGGGAACUUGUGCAUGCCUUUAUGGGUUUCCGCUCUUUUGCAUGAAUGCAAAACAACCACAAACAUGCAUCGAUAAACAAAAUUGAAA
rnacentral:lncRNA from 1 species